rnacentral:lncRNA from 1 species
CCAUAUCUCACUGCCCUUCCCAUUUCGUACCCGUUCUCCAAGUCUACCGAAGCAGAACCCUUCCACCGGCACAAAGUCCCAAGACGAAAUCAGUUUCCUUCAAAUCUACCACAGCAAAACCCUCCCGCUGGCACCAAGUAGCUCACUCCCUUCGACGCCGGAACGAAAAGGACGGCAUUUGUACCCUUCGUCGCUUGCUGCACCAGACCUGUACUCAUCUUCGUCACUGAAAGUAAGUUCGAAAAUGUGGGUUUUCGAAGGAUUGACUAUGGCGCUUAAGUUUUGGGGGUCAAAUUUUUGUUUUCUGAUUUUCUCGUCAGUAGCAAUCAUUGGGUCGAAUGGAGGUUUUUUUUUUCCCAUUUUUUCUCCUAAAUCAAGUGAACUUUGAAAUCAGCUUUGGUUUGUGAACUCUAAAUCGGGUGAACUUUGAAAUCAGUAAUCAUUGUAGUCAGUAGCAAUCAGCUUCUGUUCGUGCACUUUGAAUGUUGAAAUUUUGCAUUUUCUCGUUAUGGUGUGUGAAUUUUAUAGAUGUCUGGAAUCAACUUCUUUUUGUGAACUCAAUAAGAUUGCUUUAAUGGAUGUGAGCUCUUAUUCUUGAAUAGCUUUUGAUGUGUUGUGGUUUAUUUUCAGCUUAUGAUGGCGGGGAAGAACCAUGGAGUAUGUCAUGGUUGUAGAGGAAAAGGGCAUUUUUUGCUAACUGUCCGGAGAAAUGGCAUUGCCCAUGGUACAAACAUGCAUCCGUUAAAUGUUUUGAGGUAGAGAAAGAGAGCAAAAACAAGGGUAGAUUAUUCAAUACUUGUACUGCAAAAUGUGGAUGGAUAUUGGGAGUGGGUGAAAGAUGGCGAGAAUAACGGUGAAGCAAGUGUAGUCAGCAUAACUUCGACGAAUCAUGUGAUGAGCAAAGGAGUUGAAGAAUUAUCUUGCAUGUUUUAAUCUCAAUGUCGACUAUUUGAUCAACGCAAUGUGGAGAUGUCUCUUAACGUGACAAUACGCAAAGGAAGAGCAAACGUGGAUGGAGAGAAGAAAGGAAAGGGCCGUGAAUGAAUUGCAGUUUUGAAUUUAAUGACCUUAUUCAGUUUUGCAUUUCUGGCAUUAGUAGUUUCAUCACUAUUUAGUAGUUAAGUAAUGUUGUUUUGUAAUUGUGUCAUCGCAGGGGGUCACUCGAUGUGAAUUGUCUAGAUGGUAUUGUCGUUUGUAGUUAUGCAAUGUGGAUGGGAUGGAGUUGCCAUUCAAGGAAUGUGUAGUAUCAACUUGGACUUUGAUCACAUUCCAGCAUCUCACAAUGUUUAAGCAUUGUCUCUUCAUUAUGUAAUUUCUUUCCUUUUCAAUGAAGUGAUUGCAACAGAUUUUAGUUGAAUGUUUAAGCAUUUUGUGGCUUGAAUAAAAUAUAAUCCAUCUUUA